rnacentral:rRNA from 1 species
GAUGAACGCUGGCGGCGUGCCUAAUACAUGCAAGUCGAGCGAAUGGAUUAAGAGCUUGCUCUUAUGAAGUUAGCGGCGGACGGGUGAGUAACACGUGGGUAACCUGCCCAUAAGACUGGGAUAACUCCGGGAAACCGGGGCUAAUACCGGAUAACAUCUUGAACCGCAUGGUUCGAAAUUGAAAGGCGGCUUCGGCUGUCACUUAUGGAUGGACCCGCGUCGCAUUCGCUAGUUGGUGAGGUAACGGCUCACCAAGGCAACGAUGCGUAGCCGACCUGAGAGGGUGAUCGGCCACACUGGGACUGAGACACGGCCCAGACUCCUACGGGAGGCAGCAGUAGGGAAUCUUCCGCAAUGGACGAGAGUCUGACGGAGCAACGCCGCGUGAGUGAUGAAGGCUUUCGGGUCGUAAAACUCUGUUGUUAGGGAAGAACAAGUGCUAGUUGGAUAAGCUGGCACCUUGACGGUACCUAACCAGAAAGCCACGGCCAACUACGUGCCAGCCGCCGCCGUAA